rnacentral:rRNA from 1 species
AUUGAACGCUGGCGGCAGGCCUAACACAUGCAAGUCGAGCGGAUGAGAGAAGCUUGCUUUUCGAUUCAGCGGCGGACGGGUGAGUAAUGCCUAGGAAUCUACCUGUUAGUGGGGGAUAACUCGGGGAAACUCGGGCUAAUACCGCAUACGUCCUACGGGAGAAAGUGGGGGAUCUUCGGACCUCACGCUAACAGAUGAGCCUAGGUCGGAUUAGCUAGUAGGUGAGGUAAUGGCUCACCUAGGCGACGAUCCGUAACUGGUCUGAGAGGAUGAUCAGUCACACUGGAACUGAGACACGGUCCAGACUCCUACGGGAGGCAGCAGUGGGGAAUAUUGGACAAUGGGCGAAAGCCUGAUCCAGCCAUGCCGCGUGUGUGAAGAAGGUCUUCGGAUUGUAAAGCACUUUAAGUUGGGAGGAAGGGUAUUCACCUAAUACGUGGGUACUUUGACGUUACCAACAGAAUAAGCACCGGCUAACUCUGUGCCAGCCGCCGCCGUAACAC